rfam:Mustela putorius furo unplaced genomic scaffold scaffold00074, whole genome shotgun sequence.
GUCUACGGCCAUACCACCCUGAACACGCCCGAUCUCGUCUGACCUCGGAAGCUAAGCAGGGUCGGGCCUGGUUAGUACUUGGAUAGGAGAAAUCAGAUGAACUAUAUGAA